rnacentral:rRNA from 1 species
AGAGUUUGAUCAUGGCUCAGAGUGAACGCUGGCGGCGUGCUUAACACAUGCAAGUCGAGCGAAGUUUGCAGCGUAUCGCAAGCUUAGCGGCAGACGGGUGAGUAAUACUUGGGCAAUCUGCCCUUGAGUAGGGGACAACCUGCCGAAAGGCGGGCUAAUACCCCAUAAGACCACAGGGAUGCAUAUUCUAGGGGUCAAAGCUCCGCAAGGGGCGCUUGAGGAGGAGCCCGAGUCCUAUCAUGGUAGUUGGCGGGGUAAUGGCCCACCAAGCCGUUGACGGGUAGCCGGCCUGAAAGGGCAACCGGCCACACUGGCACUGAGACACGGGCCAGACUCCUACGGGAGGCAGCAGUGGGGAAUUUUGGACAAUGGGGGCAACCCUGAUCCAGCGACGCCGCGUGGAGGAUGAAGGUCUUCGGAUUGUAAACUCCUUUUGGAGGGGAUGAAUGGCUUGGUGAAUAGCCAAGAGUGACAGUACUCUCUGAAUAAGCCACGGCUAACUACGUGCCAGCAGCCGCGGUAAUACGUAGGUGGCAAGCGUUACUCGGAAUCACUAGGCGUAAAGCGCAGGUAGGCGGUUUGGAAAGUCUGUUGUGAAAGCUCCCGGCUUAACUGGGAGAGGUCAACGGAAACUACCAGGCUGGAGUGUGGUAGAGGUAGCUAGAAUUCCCGGUGUAGCGGUGAAAUGCGUAGAUAUCGGGAGGAAUACCUAUGGCGAAAGCAGGCUACUGGACCAUCACUGACGCUGAUCUGCGAAAGCUAGGGGAGCAAACAGGAUUAGAUACCCUAGUAGUCC